AGAGUUUGAUUCUGGCUCAGAACGAACGCUGGCGGCGUGCUUAAUACGUGCAAGUCGAACGCGAAAGCACCUUCGGGUGUGAGUAGAGUGGCGCACGGGUGAGUAACACGUGGAUAAUCUGCCCUAGAGUGGGGGAUAACUCAGGGAAACCUGAGCUAAUACCGCAUGAGACCACAGAGGCCGAGGCCUCAGGGGUUAAAAAUUUAUUGCUCUAGGAUGAGUCCGCGUCCGAUUAGCUUGAUGGUAGGGUAACGGCCUACCAUGGCUCCGAUCGGUAGCUGGUCUGAGAGGAUGAUCAGCCACACUGGAACUGAGACACGGUCCAGACUCCUACGGGAGGCAGCAGUAGGGAAUAUUGCGCAAUGGGCGAAAGCCUGACGCAGCAACGCCGCGUGAGUGAUGAAGGGUUUCGGCUCGUAAAGCUCUGUCGCAGGGGAAGAUAAUGACGGUACCCUGCAAGAAAGGACCGUCUAACUUCGUGCCAGCAGCCGCGGUAAUACGAGGGGUCCUAGCGUUGUUCGGAAUCAUUGGGCGUAAAGCGUAUGUAGGUGGCUUAUCAAGUCAGAUGUGAAAGCCCGGAACUCAAUUCCGGAAUUGCAUCUGAAACUGAUGAACUUGAGUACGAGAGAGGGUCGUGGAAUUCCGGGUGUAGUGGUGAAAUACGUAGAUAUCCGGAGGAACAUCGGCGGCGAAGGCGGCGGCCUGGCUCGAUACUGACACUGAGAUACGAAAGCGUGGGUAGCAAACAGGAUUAGAUACCCUGGUAGUCCACGCGGUAAACGAUGGACACUUGGUGUUGGAGGUAUUGACCCCUUCAGUGCCGGAGUUAACGCGUUAAGUGUCCCGCCUGGGGAGUACGGCCGCAAGGUUAAAACUCAAAGAAAUUGACGGGGGCCCGCACAAGCGGUGGAGCAUGUGGUUUAAUUCGAUACCACGCGAAGAACCUUACCUGGGUUUGAACUGCUAGGGCUACUCAUAGAGAUAUGAGGUUUCUUCGGAACUCUAGUAGAGGUGCUGCAUGGCUGUCGUCAGCUCGUGUCGUGAGAUGUUGGGUUAAGUCCCGCAACGAGCGCAACCCCUACUUUUAGUUGCCAGCAUUAAGUUGGGCACUCUAGAAGGACUGCCGACGUUAAGUCGGAGGAAGGUGGGGAUGACGUCAAGUCCUCAUGGCCCUUAUGCCCAGGGCUACACACGUGCUACAAUGGUCGGUACAGAGCGCAGCGAUAUCGUGAGAUGGAGCAAAUCGCCAAAAACCGGCCUAAGUUCGGAUUGAAGUCUGCAACUCGACUUCAUGAAGGUGGAAUCGCUAGUAAUCGCAGAUCAGCUCGCUGCGGUGAAUACGUUCCCGGGCCUUGUACACACCGCCCGUCACACCAUGAAAGCUGGUUUUACCAGAAGUCGCUGUGCCAACCCUUCGGGGAGGUAGGCGCCCAAGGUAAGGCUGGUGAUUGGGGUGAAGUCGUAACAAGGUA
rnacentral:rRNA from 1 species